CUUCCAGGUGUCCCAGAAACCCAGGAAAUCGAGACUCAUGACUCCCAGAGAGGAUGGCAUCUAGAAGAGCAGAGCCAUUCCCUACUUGGAAGCUGCUGCUGCUGAACUGAAAGCUGCUGCUGCUGCUCGAAUGAGAGCUGCUGCUUCCCGAGUGAGAGCCGCUGUUUCCCGAGUGAGAGCUGCUGCUCCCCAGCUGGGAGGAACCGGAUGCACCUUGUAGACUAGAGCCAGAUCCGGAGGAGUAGCUGACCUGGGAAUACCCCGUUCCUGGCUUAAA
rnacentral:lncRNA from 10 species